rnacentral:rRNA from 1 species
GAUAAACGCUGGCGGCGUGCAUAACACAUGCAAGUCGAACGAUGAAGAUUAAAAGAUUUCUUCGGAAUGAACUUAAUUGGAUUAGUGGCGGACGGGUGAGUAACGCGUGAGUAACCUGCCUUGUACAAGGGGAUAGCCGUUGGAAACGACGAAUAAUACCCUAUAACAUCAAAUAAUCGCAUGAUAAUUUGAUCAAAGAUUUAUCGGUAUAAGAUGGACUCGCGUCUGAUUAGCUAGUUGUGGGUAACUGCCACCAAGGCAACGAUCAGUAGCCGGCUUGAGAGAGUGUACGGCCACAUUGGGACUGAGACACGGCCCAGACUCCUACGGGAGGCAGCAGUGGGGAAUUUUGCACAAUGGGGGAAACCCUGAUGCAGCGACGCCGCGUGAUUUAGAAGGCCUUCGGGUUGUAAAAUCUUUUGUAUGGGAAGAAAUGACAGUACCAUACGAAUAAGGACCGGCUAAUUACGU